rnacentral:rRNA from 1 species
CAGGUGUUGUCAUGGCUGUCGUCAGCUCGUGUCGUGAGAUGUUCGGUUAAGUCCGCUAACGAGCGCAACCCUCGCCGUAUGUUACAAGUGUCAUACGGGACUGCCGGUAAAAAGCCGGAGGAAGGUGAGGAUGAUGUCAAGUCAGCAUGACCUUUAUAUCCAGGGCUACACACACGCUACAAUGGUCUGUACAAUUGGUUGCCAAGCCGCGAGGCGGAGCCAAUCCGUAAAGCAGGCCUCAGUUCAGAUUGCAGUCUGCAACUCGACUGCAUGAAGCCGGAGUUGCUAGUAACCGCAGGUCAGCAAUACUGCGGUGAAUACGUUCCCGGGUCUU